UUUGACCUCAAAUCAGGUAGGAGUACCCGCUGAACUUAAGCAUAUCAAUAAGCGGAGGAAAAGAAACUAACCAGGAUUCCCCUAGUAACGGCGAGUGAAGAGGGAAAAGCUCAAAUUUGAAAUCUGGCGGCCUACGGUCGUCCGAGUUGUAAUCUAGAGAAGUGUUUUCCGUGCCGGACCGUGUACAAGUCCUUUGGAACAAGGCGUCAUAGAGGGUGAGAAUCCCGUCUAGGACACGGACUGCCGGUGCUCUGUGAUACACUCUCAACGAGUCGAGUUGUUUGGGAAUGCAGCUCAAAAUGGGUGGUAAAUUCCAUCUAAAGCUAAAUACAGGCGAAAGACCGAUAGCGAACAAGUACCGUGAGGGAAAGAUGAAAAGCACUUUGGAAAGAGAGUUAAAAAGUACGUGAAAUUGUUGAAAGGGAAACGCUUGAAGUCAGUCGCGUCUUCAGAAACUCAGCCUGACCCUCGGGUCUGGCGUACUUUUCUGUUGGACGGGCCAGCAUCAGUUUCGGCCGGCAGAAAAAGGGGAGAGGAAGGUGGCACCUCCGGGUGUGUUAUAGCCUCUCGUCGUAUGUGUCGGCCGGGACUGAGGACCGCAGCACGCCCCCUUCCAGGRGGCCGGGGUUCGCCCACGUCACGUGCUUAGGAUGCUGGCGUAAUGGCUUUAAGCGACCCGUCUUGAAACACGGACCAAGGAGUCUAACAUGCCUGCGAGUAUUUGGGUGGCAAACCCAUAUGCGGAAUGAAAGUGAAUGGUUGGGACUUCUGUCAUGGAAGGCACCGACGCCCGGACCAGAGCUACUGUGACGGAUCCGAGGCAGAGCAUGCAUGUUGGGACCCGAAAGAUGGUGAACUAUGCCUGAGUAGGGUGAAGCCAGAGGAAACUCUGGUGGAGGCUCGUAGCGAUUCUGACGUGCAAAUCGAUCGUCGAACUUGGGUAUAGGGGCGAAAGACUAAUCGAAC
rnacentral:rRNA from 1 species